CAAUAGCGUAUAUUAAAGUUGUUGCAGUUAAAAAGCUCGUAGUUGGAUUUCUGAUCGAGACAUCAGGUCGGGUCCGAGAGGAUCAUGUACUUUGAUUUUGUUUUGAUCAUCCUUGGGGAGAGCAUUUCUGGCAUUCAGUUGUCGGGAUUGGGAUCCUCAUCGUUUACUGUGAAAAAAUUAGAGUGUUAAAAGCAGGCCUCGGCCUCUGAAUACAUUAGCAUGGAAUAAUAAGAUAGGACUUUGGUGGUCUAUUUUGUUGGUUUGCACGCCAAAGUAAUGAUUAAUAGGGAUAGUUGGGGGUAUUCGUAUUCAAUUGUCAGAGGUGAAAUUCUUGGAUUUAUGGAAGACGAACUACUGCGAAAGCAUUUACCAAGGAUGUUUUCAUUAA
rnacentral:rRNA from 1 species